rnacentral:rRNA from 1 species
ACAGGGAUUGCCCUAGUAACGGCGAGUGAAGCGGCAACAGCUCAAAUUUGAAAUCUGGCCUUCGGGUCCGAGUUGUAAUUUGUAGAGGAUGCUUUUGGCGCGGUGCCUUCCGAGUUCCCUGGAACGGGACGCCUUAGAGGGUGAGAGCCCCGUACGGUUGGACACCAAGCCUCUGUAAAGCUCCUUCGACGAGUCGAGUAGUUUGGGAAUGCUGCUCUAAAUGGGAGGUAAAUUUCUUCUAAAGCUAAAUAUUGGCCAGAGACCGAUAGCGCACAAGUAGAGUGAUCGAAAGAUGAAAAGCACUUUGAAAAGAGGGUUAAAUAGCACGUGAAAUUGUUGAAAGGGAAGCGUUUGCGACCAGACUUUUUCCUAGCGGAUCAUCCGGUGUUUUCACCGGUGCACUUUGCUAGGUUAAGGCCAGCAUCGGUUUCUGUAGGGGGAUAAAAGCUUGGGGAAUGUAGCUCCCUCGGGAGUGUUAUAGCCUCUUGCAUAAUACCCUUACGGGGACCGAGGACCGCGCUUUUGCAAGGAUGCUGGCGUAAUGGUUGUCAACGACCCGUCUUGAAACACGGACCAAGGAGUCGAACAUUUGUGCGAGUGUUUGGGUGUUAAACCCUCACGCGUAAUGAAAGUGAACGGAGGUGAGAGCCCUUACGGGUGCAUCAUCGACCGAUCCUGAUGUCUUCGGAUGGAUUUGAGUAAGAGCAUAACUGUUCGGACCCGAAAGAUGGUGAACUAUGCGUGGAUAGGGUGAAGCCAGAGGAAACUCUGGUGGAGGCUCGCAGCGGUUCUGACGUGCAAAUCGAUCGUCAAAUCUGCGCAUGGGGGCGAAAGACUUAUCGAACCAUCUAGUAGCUGGUUACCGCCGAAGUUUCCCUCAGGAUAGCAGUGUUGUUCUUCAGUUUUAUGAG